AAAAACUAACACUGUAUGGAGUUGGAACGUUUGCCUAUGUUUGUCGCUAAGGACGCUGUUCCAACUGCAUACAAAUUUGAUUUA
rfam:Bombyx mori DNA, contig: Bm_scaf20_contig14388, strain: p50T/Dazao, build 2, whole genome shotgun sequence.